GGCUUCCGGCGAAAAGCCGUUAUUCCAGAGACCGUGAAAAACACCCACGUCAAGUUGUGAAACAGUUAUAGCCAAUUGCUUCCAAUCAAGAUAACCAACCCCAAAUGUAAGAUCAGGGAGUCUGACGCAAAACAAUGAAAGAAUGAAGCAGCGUUUGCAAGCCCACUGACCAUAGGCCAUAGGGAGUGCAUCAGCCAUACUACCAUAAUAACCAAUAUUUAUCCAUUCGGUUAAGGGGAUUGUAAGGCAGUAAGCCUAGAUGAUACAUUCUCUCAAAUCUGGUUUAUUCCCUUAUUUUCAUUUUAUUUGUUUA